CGACAUUUCAGCCCAUUUCUGCUUGCCCGAACCCCAGGCUGCCGAGCUUACCGCGCGCCACCGUCGUCGCCGUCGCCGUCGCCGCCGCCGCCGCCGACGCCGGUGGAGACUGCCGAGCAGCCUACAGAAACCUCGGUGCUCCCUUGCAGGAUGCGAGAGCGAGAGGCACGCGAUCCAGGGAAGAAGUACGAGGAGUACAGCCACAUCUACUUCACGCGCUCGUCCCCUCCCGGAAAGCCUCAACACUCCCUGCUAGGGUUUAUGUUCUGAUUAGUGAUUCCCCGUCGAGGUUUUGGCUUGCAACUGGAGCUCGAUCGAGGUUGCAAAUUUAACUCACCAUGAGGCCGGUUUAGGGCUGUCUGGCGUAUUAAGCGGGAUCUGUCAGGUGUUUAUGAUAUGAGAGGCUUUUAUCGGUACACAAGUGUAGCUUCCAGUGAAAAAUCACAGGCACUUACUUUGUGCCGCUUGCUUUUGUGCUUUGUCAGAUAGGCAACAUCUAAAAUCUGUUUUCCCCCCUACAUUGCAGUCACUACAGUGUUAGGACUCGAAGAAGGAAAGAAUUGCAUAUAGAUUGCAGUUGCAGUGUGACCAUGGCCAUAAAUGUCGACCGGACACUAGCUGAAAAAGGACAAACAAGGAUUUGUGUCACUGCCACACGGCUGAUGAACAUGAAGCAAUAAUGCGGCACAUAGCCCCAGGUCCUUCAAAUCUCUGCACAGAUGCGAGGGAGCAGCCUAGGAUCCGUAGGCUGCUGGCAAACAGGUGCCUGCCUUGGCAGUGGAGUCUGCAGGAGGGCCGGACAGCCGGAGUAGGAGCACUACUCGUUUGUCCGAAGGUGCAUGUCCAGCUUCCUGCUCACCGGCAGCCGCAGCAGCGGGCAGACUGCAAGCAGAUUCCAAGAUCUUUUGGCUGCCCC